AUGAACGCUGGCGGCGUGCCUAAUACAUGCAAGUCGAGCGAACAGACGAGGAGCUUGCUCCUCUGACGUUAGCGGCGGACGGGUGAGUAACACGUGGAUAACCUACCUAUAAGACUGGGAUAACUUCGGGAAACCGGAGCUAAUACCGGAUAAUAUAUUGAACCGCAUGGUUCAAUAGUGAAAGACGGUUUUGCUGUCACUUAUAGAUGGAUCCGCGCCGCAUUAGCUAGUUGGUAAGGUAACGGCUUACCAAGGCAACGAUGCGUGGCCGACCUGAGAGGGUGAUCGGCCACACUGGAACUGAGACACGGUCCAGACUCCUACGGGAGGCAGCAGUAGGGAAUCUUCCGCAAUGGGCGAAAGCCUGACGGAGCAACGCCGCGUGAGUGAUGAAGGUCUUCGGAUCGUAAAACUCUGUUAUUAGGGAAGAACAAAUGUGUAAGUAACUAUGCACGUCUUGACGGUACCUAAUCAGAAAGCCACGGCUAACUACGUG
rnacentral:rRNA from 1 species